AUUUUUCUUUACCUGUGGAAGCUCCACACAGCAUGUUGCUUUUCCCGAACUCUGCUCUGAGUUUCCUGAAUCUCACUACAACUGCGGGCAGGUAGCAGCGAUGAUAUAGGAAGAACUUCCCUAAGGACUAUGGAAAAGGACUUCAGAGCCUUGGAGCAACAGGUAAAGGGUUUGGGAGCACAAGUUGUGUUCUCCUCUAUCCCUCCAGUUAUAGGGAAUGAUGAGGGACUGAAUAUGAUCGGCCAAUGGAUUAAUACCUGGCUCCGAGCCUGAUGUGUCCAGCAGGGGUUUGGGUUUUUUGACCUCUGCUCUAUUUGCACAAGACCAGGCCUGCUGGCAACUGAGAGGAGUAGCUUCUCCCACUGGUGGAAAGGGGUCUUAAGACAGGAGUUGGGAAGAUUUGUUGAUAGAGCUUUAAACUAGGUACGAAGGGGGAUGGGGAUGUAACUGGGAUCAUUAGAACGGAGCCUGUAUAUAACGUCCCAGUGCUUGUAGGAGAGGGAUGUGCUAAUAGGAUCCCAAAUCUUGUGUCUUGGUGAAGGAGGAAGAUGACUCACCCUUUUGUAGGAAGAACACAAGGGUUGGUGUGAGGUCUGUGGCUAUGGAAACACCUGAGAUGGUCAUGAGGGUAUUAGGGCUACUGCCACUCAAAAGGAGGCCCAGCUCAGGUGCUUUUACACUAAUGCACACAGCAUGGGUAAUAAACAGGAGGAGCUGGAGGGCAUUGUGUGGUCAGAAAGCUAUGAUUUAGUCGCUAUCAUGGAAACAUGGUGAAAUAACUCACACAGCUGGAGUGCUGUGAUGGAUGGCUACCAACUUUUCAAAAGACAUAGGCAAGGCAGGAAAGGCAGUGGUGUAGGCCUCUAUGUUAAGAAAGAAUGUGAAUGUAUGGAAAUUAAUGAUGGUGAUGAUAGGGUUGAGAGCUUAUGGGUCAGAAUAAAAAGCGAAGGCCAAUAAGACUGAUAUUAUCGUGGGAGUCUGCUACAGGCCACCCAACCAGGAUGAAGAAGUAGACAAGACACCUUAUAGACAGUUGGGUGAGGUCUCAAGGUCUCUCCCCUUGUUCUUG
ensembl:lncRNA